GUGUCAGCCGCCGCGGUAAUACGAGGGGUCCAAGCGUUGUUCGGAAUCACUGGGCGUAAAGCGGGUGUAGGUGGCUAGGCAAGUUAGGUGUGAAAGCCCCGGGCUCAACCCGGGAAGUGCACCUAAAACUACUUAGCUUGAGUAAGGAAGAGGAUAGGAGAAUUCUUGGUGUAGUGGUGAAAUACGUAGAUAUCAAGAGGAACACCGGUGGCGAAGGCGCCUAUCUGGUCCAUUACUGACACUCAGACCCGAAAGCGUGGGUAGCAAACAGGAUUAGAUACCCUGGUAGUCCACGCCUUAAACGAUGAUCACUUGGUGUUGGAGGUAUUGACCCCUUCAGUGCCGGAGCUAACGCGUUAAGUGAUCCGCCUGGGAAGUACGGUCGCAAGAUUAAAACUCAAAUAAAUUGACGG
rnacentral:rRNA from 1 species